ACAAUCCAACAGAUCUUCCAACCGGUAAACCAGAUGGGCUGGUGCAGACCAGCUGUCCUGACUGCAUCGUUAUAAAGACGGAGGACGACCAGAUCCUGAGUACUUUCUUGCUUUUAAGUAGGAGAAAGACUGUCACUACUGAUGAGCUGAAGGAGUUUGAGGCACAGGUCAAGUGUAUGGGCUGGUCCAAACCGCAGGUCUUAAACACAGAUCACGAGUACCAAAACUGCCUGUCACUUGAGACUGCUGAAGAUGAUUCUUCAAGAUUAUCAAACAUGAUUUAUGAAAGACUGAAAACCACGUACACCGAGCCCCUCCAGUGUCUUGCCGAAACCCUUAUGUAUUACCCCAAAACUGCCUAUGAGUGGGCUCAAGAAAGUUGGGCCUCUCUUUGGUAAAUGUGCUGGUGCACAGCUAUAAUAAAAAUUCACUCACACGAUCAGGUUUUUGUGAAAUGGUGCAACCCUGCUCAAGAUGUUGACUUGCUUGGUGGGGAACUGAUUACUGGUUGAUUUACUGUUUUAAAAGAUGAAGACUCUCUAACCCAAUAAGACCCCCUUUGUCUACAUUCAGGUUUUAAGUGGUGAUCUGUAGUGCUUUUCAACAACAUGUUCCCUCUUUCAGACAGUUCAGUCACCAUUAAUAAUGACUGAUUUUUU